GAUGAAGAACGCAGCGAAAUGCGAUAAGUAAUGUGAAUUGCAGAAUUCAGUGAACCAUCGAAUCUUUGAACGCACCUUGCACCCUUUGGUAUUCCGAAGGGUAUGCUCGUUUGAGUGUCAUUGUACUCUCACACUUCUAAUUCCUUUCGGGAUUGGGAGCGGUGGACUUGGGUGUUGCUGCUUUAGUUGUGGCUCACCUCAAAUAAGUUAGUGCAACUCUUGGUUGGACAUAGUACGGCGUGAUAAGUGUCUUCGCCGGCGCCUCUGUAAGGAGGGUGGCCGAUCGGGAGCUCUGUGCUUCAAACCGUCUUCGGACAAUCUUUGACAACUUGACCUCAAAUCGAGUAGGACUACCCGCUGAACUUAAGCAUAUCAAUAAGCGGAGGA
rnacentral:misc_RNA from 1 species